UCAUCUAGGUUGGAAAAGACCUUCAAGAUUAUCAAGUCCAACCAUCGACCUGACUUACUGAGUCCCACCACUAAACCAUCUCCCUUAGUGCAUCACACAGAAGCUC